UAGGGAAUCUUCCACAAUGGACGAAAGUCUGAUGGAGCAACGCCGCGUGAGUGAAGAAGGUUUUCGGAUCGUAAAGCUCUGUUGUAAGAGAAGAACGUGUGUGAGAGUGGAAAGUUCACACAGUGACGGUAACUUACCAGAAAGGGACGGCUAACUACGUGUCCAG
rnacentral:rRNA from 1 species